GUUAGGGAGGAAGUACUCCACUAAGGAAUGUGUCUGCAUGGCUAAGGCUUUCCUUCUCCACUUGAUGGGGACCUACCUCUUUGCCAAUGGUGGGCAAACGGUGUCUUUGAGGUGGCUAACCCUCUUCCAGGAUUUUGGUUAGGCACGGAGGGCCAACUGGGGGCAAGCAUGUCUAUUUACCUUUACUUCAUCCUCAACACUCUCAACCGGGGCACUUUGAAGUAACUUGUAGGGCCUUGGAAGCUCCUUGAGUGAUGGGUGGUUAGGUAUGGCCUUAUAACUUCGGGCACCGACCUAGUUUUGAACAACUUCCACCAAGUGAGGGCCCACCUUGCUGGGUUGACUUCUGAUGAGGUUAACUGGACCCCAUGGGCCGGCCAGCCCCUUCCUGCUUCUCAAGACUUGGAGCCUACCACUUUCAUCGCUUCAAAGAUUACUCAACCUUUUGAAGGAGCGGGUGUGAGGGCGCUAUACUUGGCAGAGAGGGUACGGCGCCAGUUAAUGGGUAUGAAUGACCCACAGAU